AGCGAACGCUGGCGGCAGGCCUAACACAUGCAAGUCGAACGAACCUUUCGGGGUUAGUGGCGGACGGGUGAGUAACACGUGGGAACGUGCCUUUAGGUUCGGAAUAACUCAGGGAAACUUGUGCUAAUACCGAAUGUGCCCUUCGGGGGAAAGAUUUAUCGCCUUCAGAGCGGCCCGCGUCUGAUUAGCUAGUUGGUUGAGGUAAUGGCUCACCAAGGCGACGAUCAGUAGCUGGUCUGAGAGGAUGAUCAGCCACAUUGGGACUGAGACACGGCCCAAACUCCUACGGGAGGCAGCAGUGGGGAAUCUUGCGCAAUGGGCGAAAGCCUGACGCAGCCAUGCCGCGUGAAUGAUGAAGGUCUUAGGAUUGUAAAAUUCUUUCGCCGGGGACGAUAAUGACGGUACCCGGAGAAGAAGCCCCGGCUAACUUCGUGCCAGCAGCCGCCGUAA
rnacentral:rRNA from 1 species